rnacentral:rRNA from 1 species
UAAAGCGUGCGCAGGCGGUUUUGUAAGACAGAUGUGAAAUCCCCGGGCUCAACCUGGGAACUGCAUUUGUGACUGUAUAGCUGGAGUGCGGCAGAGGGGGAUGGAAUUCCGCGUGUAGCAGUGAAAUGCGUAGAUAUGCGGAGGAACACCGAUGGCGAAGGCAAUCCCCUGGGCCUGCACUGACGCUCAUGCACGAAAGCGUGGGGAGCAAACAGGAUUAGAACCCUAGU